rnacentral:rRNA from 1 species
GACGAACGCUGGCGGCGUGCCUAAUACAUGCAAGUAGAACGCAGUUGCGAACGGGUGAGUAACGCGUAGGUAACUGCCUCAUAGCGGGGGAUAACUAAUGGAAACGAGAGCUAAUACCGGAUACUGUGAAAUGGACCUGAGUUGUAAUGGGUAGUUGGUGAGGUAAAGGCUCACCAAGGCGACGAUACAUAGCCGACCGUAGAGGGGUAUAGGCCACCAUUGGACUGAAGCAAUGCCCAGACUCCUACUGGAAGGCGCAGGAGGGAAACCUCUGCAAUGGGGGGAAGUCUGACCGGACAAAGCCGGGUGAGUGAAGGAGGUUUUCGGAUCGUAAAGCUCUUUUGUUAGGGAAGCGGUAACUAACCAGAAAGGCACGGCUAACUACGUGCAAGCAGCCGCGGUAAUAC